rnacentral:rRNA from 1 species
CACACCGCCCGUCACACCAUGGGAGUCGUUUGCUCCAGAAGUGGCUGCGCCAACCCGCAAGGGAGGCAGGUCCCCAAGGAGUGCACGGUAACUGGGUG